rnacentral:rRNA from 1 species
UACGGGGGGGGCAAGCGUUGUUCGGAAUUACUGGGCGUAAAGGGUUCGCAGGCGGCCAACUAAGUCAGACGUGAAAUCCCUCGGCUUAACCGGGGAACUGCGUCUGAUACUGGAUGGCUUGAAUCCGGGAGAGGGAUGCGGAAUUCCAGGUGUAGCGGUGAAAUGCGUAGAUAUCUGGAGGAACACCGGUGGCGAAGGCGGCAUCCUGGACCGGCAUUGACGCUGAGGAGCGAAAGCCAGGGGAGCAAACGGG